AGUGAACGCUGGCGGUAGGCCUAACACAUGCAAGUCGAACGGCAGCACUGUAAGAGCUUGCUCUUACGGGUGGCGAGUGGCGGACGGGUGAGGAAUACAUCGGAAUCUACUUUUUCGUGGGGGAUAACGUAGGGAAACUUACGCUAAUACCGCAUACGACCUACGGGUGAAAGCAGGGGAUCUUCGGACCUUGCGCGAUUGAAUGAGCCGAUGUCGGAUUAGCUAGUUGGCGGGGUAAAGGCCCACCAAGGCGACGAUCCGUAGCUGGUCUGAGAGGAUGAUCAGCCACACUGGAACUGAGACACGGUCCAGACUCCUACGGGAGGCAGCAGUGGGGAAUAUUGGACAAUGGGCGCAAGCCUGAUCCAGCCAUACCGCGUGGGUGAAGAAGGCCUUCGGGUUGUAAAGCCCUUUUGUUGGGAAAGAAAAGCAGCAGGUUAAUACCCCGCUGUCCUGACGGUACCCAAAGAAUAAGCACCGGCUAACUUCGUG
rnacentral:rRNA from 1 species